CUCCUCUUAUUGUUUUGGUAUAAACUUAUGGAUGCAUGACAACAUGUGGUAACCUGGAAGUGUGUUGAAACUUCUCAGUGCAGUAGUGUUAAUGGUCUGGUUCGCCUCUGAAGUCGGGCACAAAGUCUUUUUCGGUGUAUAAAGCAUUUUCUUUAAAUGUCAGUUGUCAUUCUAUUACCACUAAUCAGCUACUGGAAGUUCUUGUGGACUUCUGAGCUUUUGGCGUAAGAUAACCCACUGGCAAAUACAGGCAUUCAUUUGUGGUACAAGUCAUAACGUGAAAAGACUUUUACUUAACAAUGCCUUGAGUAUUAAAGAGGGAAAAGAAUAGGAAAAAGGAAACAGUAUUCACGUGCUCUUGCAAAACAGCACACACCUAGAAAUAGAUCAACUUUUUUUUUUCCUUCUUUCCUUCCGUACUUGGGUGCUUGUUAGGCUCCCCAUUGGCAGUUAAAUUUUGGUAGGUGGAUGACUUGUUCGGUGUGAGUGCCGUUCUGAGUUGUAAAACUUCGAAUAUGCUGUAGAGGAUAAUGGAGGUGUUGAGUUGAGCAAGUGUGAAUGGGAGUUGUGGCCGAGUCAAGCUUCCGCACUUCUAUUGUUGCAGUGGAGAUGGAAGAAAUACCGGUGAACUGAAUAGUUCAUCCAGUUGAUCCGUCCCGUCGUUUUUUCAUUCCGCAGCAACGUGUCAUUGAACUGAAUCCGCUGGUUUAUUUGUAUCACGUGAUCAUCGGAAACAAAUGAUCGACUUGUAUACGGAGGUAAUGAUCUUGGGAUGGAA